rnacentral:lncRNA from 1 species
GCUGCUUUCCUUCUCCUUCUCUUGUGUCCUCGUUGUCUCCUCUUGGGAGCAGCAUUGCUGAUAGGCAGGUGGAAGUCCAUUUUCUCUCCAUCUGCUUCACAAACUUAUUUUAAUGACUUGGCUGCCUUACUCCCUUUUCUCUUUAUUCAGGGCUAUUUUCACCCUAUUUCACCCUCUUGACCACUCAAGAAUCAAAUAAUUUAGGCCCAAAGAGCUAUACUUUCUUCCCUCUUCUGGUCCAGGUUAAGACUGAAAUCUAUGUAAUUCUGCAAGAGUUAAACAAAAGAGAGGAGUAACUAGGUCAUUUCCUUACCCUGAGAGUAACUCUUCAUUAUGUAGAUUGUUUCUCACCAUUGGAAUGUCUCUGCCCUCCUCCCAGUUCACCAAAGUCCCUUCCAUCCCACGAAGCACGUCUCCAUCCUCUUUUACUCUCCCAGGAAGCCAACACCAAUGUCUUUCCUCUUCCUUAUGCUUCAUAGAACUUCUUGCCAAGUCACACACUUUUACUACAUUUCAGCCUUCUCAACUUGCUCCACGUGUAAAUACUACUUCCUCAUUGAGACCAUGAGUUCUCAGAGAUGAGAGCAUUGCCCUAUAAAUCUUAAUACACCUUGUGGUUCAACGUGUGUAGUAAAAACUCAGUGACCAAAAGGGUUGAAUUCUUUACAUUAACAAAGAGACCCAAUGCUUCUAAAAUAACUUAGAGGCUUGUCUCUUUGUCUUCAAUUUUCCAGUUAAUUUUCUAAAGUGAAAAUCCCUAAAUAUUCAUUGAGUAUAAAGCACGACAGAAGCAAUGAACACAUGCAAAGUAUCACACCCCAAAUCUAAUUGUUGAAGGAAUUCUACAUUCUUUCAGCUGAUGUGUGCUAAACGUUUCCUGUGUUCGGGUACGUGGUUGCUUGGGAAGAAAGUUGAAAGAAGACACAUUUCCUGGGCUCCAGGAAUGCAAAUGAGACACUAGCAAUGUAGAAUCAAGGAAUGACUAGAUUCAUGUGUUUUCAGGAAUGAAGAGAAUAGUAAAUAAAAGAAAAAGUUAGAGAAGGCUAACGAGGAUUUGCCCAUUUCAUCCUAAUCAUUAUCAUCAGUUCAUCCUUAAUUUUGUGGCAAAAGUAUGCAAAAACAUUGUGUUACUACAGUGAGUUAAAGUAUACAUAACAGAACACCAAAAACAUGUAUCUUCGUGGGUUUAAGUAAGAAAAAUCAGAAUUUAGAUUAUUAUAUACUGACUAACCGGGUGGCACUGAUGGGUAGGGGAUCAAGCGUGCUUAUUAACAGUAUCAUUUAAAUAUCAGCUUGACACAUUGAGAGGAAAAGUAAUUGCAUAUAGCCGAGACAAUUUUCAUGGCUGAAAAACACAUUAUAUUGCCUUUAUCUCUGAGCUGAUUUGCUUUAUAUGUUUCACUAAAACUGAAUCAUAAGAAGCCAAUGGAAACAAAGUAGAAUGGAGCAUGUUAUUCUGCCUUUUAUUCCUUUGGGAAUAAGCUCAGUUCUGAAUAUACUGAUGAAAGCCGUCUGGCCCUGUUUCUGCUGAGAAUCAACACCAAUAUGUUGAUGGAGUCUGUAGUCUCUGCCCCAUGGAUUGACAUCUGGUGGAAAGUAAAAGGCCACAAUCUCAAAAUCUAGGUGGGAAAAAAAAUGCUAGAAAUGCUAAUUACUCUCUAUCCUGCUUACUUUAAUAUGUUCAUUUUAUUAAAACCUUGGAGAAGAGCAGUACAACUUAAAAACCAAUGAGCGUUCAAGACUACGUUAUAAGAACACACACAGUUCUACACUAUUCCAUCCACCUGGAAGGGUCUUCCCUCACCUCUUUAACCACACAACCACUCACUUUGAACAAAUGUCACUUCUUCAGAAAGUAUCCAAGAUCACCUUACCUGCUCCUAACACUCCUUGACUCUUCAUUAGGCUUCCAGGCAAUAUAAUCUAUGUUUGUGUUGCCAUAAUAACCAACCCCCCAAAUAUCAGUGGCUUAAAAAAAUUUGGUCACUUACAAAAAAAUCCACUGCCUGCUUGGGCAACUCUCAUAGGCAGUCCUCCCCAAUGAGUCCUUAUCGGUGGGAGCCAACACACUUGCCAUGGAGAGGUGAAAGUGAGGAGAGUUGAGGCCAGCAAAUAAAUGCUUCCACCCAGAAAUGACAGAGAUCACUUCCACUCACACUUCAUUGCUCAAACCAACUAAAGCACAAGUAGGUAUAAAGUACCAUCCUGAGUCCAAGGGCACAGAGUAAUGUCUGAUGCAUCUGCUUUAUUUACAACACCUCUCACCGAACAUCAUGUAUUUUCGUGAUUAUUUAUCUCUCUUUACUAGACUAUGAGCACAGUGAGGACAUGGACCAGGUCUGUUUGUUCACAUAUACUUUCAGAUCUUAGAAUCUCAACAAAUAUUUGUUGGAUGAACAAAUAAGAAUCCAAGAAAUUAUAGCUUUAUACCAUAAAUUACAAGCUCAUACGCCUAAAGAACCUAACCCUUUAUAUAACAAGGGAAGCAAACAAGAUUGGAACUGUGGGAGUUUCCAUUGUGGCUCAGCAGAACAAAUCCAACUAGUAUGCACGAGGAUGUGGGUUUGAUCCCUGGCCUCACUCAGUGGGUCAGGGAUCCAGUGUUGCCAAGAGCUGUGGUGUAGGUCGCAGAUGUGGCUUGGAUCCCAAGUUGCUGUGGCUGUAAUGUAGCCAGCACCUGUAACUCUGAUUCAACCCCUAGCUUGGGAACUUCCAUGUGUGGCAGGUGCAGUCCUAAAAAGCAAAAUUAAUUAAUUAAUUAAUUAAUUAAAAUAGAUUGGACCUGUGGUGAACUUUUGCCACUGCCUAAAUCUUGCCAGAUGUUGCCUUGAUGGGCAAUAGGUCUAGGGUAGCCAAAUUCUCUAAUUUCUCAGAAGUAGAAAAUCAGGACUUUUAGGUGAAAUUCCUAAUUUUUUCAUCAUAUUACUCAAAAGUUUUAAAAACGAUCUGCAGGUCAUACCCAGCAAACAUGAUGUCAGCCUGUGUCUUUCACUUUAAGUGGAAAGACCAAAAAUGUGUGUCUUGACAUUGACCAAGUUUGAGUUAAAGGGAGAAAGAAAGAGAAGAGAGAGGAAGAAUGGAAUCUCCACAUCCAUUUCACCAUCACCUAAACUGCAAUUGUGAGGAAUCUCUGCCCUUGGUCUUCACCCCUCCUCCCUGCCCUCUUUACCCAGGAAAUAGAAAAAUACCUCUUGUUAUUCAUAGCACCAGUUCCUUUAUGUAUUAUCCAGUCCUCUUGUGAAAGUUAAGAAGGGAUCAGCUCUGCCUUCACUGAUGCUAUUGUGUGUCUUACAUAACAAUAUCUAAAUAAAUAAGAAGCCCUGGGGAAAGGUCUUCCAAGGUUAACAUAUUUAGAAUAAAGAACUGUUGUGAUGAACAUGGCACUGGCAGAAUAGAAGAUCUAAUAUCUACUUCAUAUAACAGAUGAGGUCUAAACCAGGAACUCUUCUCAGUAACCAAUAAUUUGACCUGAUUACAUAAUGAGUGUUUCUUUUUCUUUGCCCUAAAGUUGAACUUUGUAUAUAGAGGGACUGCCAAACACAUUUUCACUGUAAAGAAAUGUUGUUUUUCAAUUGUAUCACCCAAGAGGCUUAAAUUCAGAUGAAAAUGUUCAAAAAUCAAAUUUCUGUAUUUCUUUGGAGUUAUUGUGGCAUGGUUUAGCAAGAAGCAUCUACUUUUUUUUCCAGAGGGAAAUCUCUCUGAGCAAGCUCAGUCAAACUUUACAUAUAAUUGUUCAUUUUGGUGAACCUAAGCCCAUACUUGGGACUUUUCCAGCUGUAGAGUCAAUGAAAAACGCCCCUGGACUCUCCAGUCAGGGACACAGUCCUGGAUUCUGGGCAAUCUGCUUUUCUAGGAAGCAGUUGAAUUAAAACUAGCCUGCCCCUCCUCCCAUGCAGAGAAUUCCUGCCACUAUGUGCCUGACUGUUCAAAUAUCCCCACAUGCUCUCUUCCCUGCAUAGAGCUGCCGUUUCAGAUCCCUGCUGCUAUGUCUGUCAGAUUCUGGUUUAAUUCUAGGAUAAUCAGAGAAAUAAAUAUUCAGUACUUCUUUCACUGCCCAGUCCUAUCCUCCGGUUGAAAUCCUUGUAAGAAAUAGACUUCUGGUGGAUUUUUGAUGUAUUUUAGCCUUCUCAUUAGGCUACCUUGCUCAGCAAUGGACACCAUGAGUUUGACUAGGGCCUUGAAAUAAAUAAGGUCACCAGCCUAUAGUUUUUUAAAAUGAAAUUAUCAAGACUGAAAUUGAAAAUCUUGUUAUUACAGGGGUAAAAGAAAUUUGAACGAUCUCUGGAGAUAGUUCGUGGGCAAAAUACAACUACUUUCAUAGAAUUCUACCAAAGCAUCCAUUUUAGAAAUUUGAACGUUGACUCGAUUCUGAAAUAAUUAACACCAUGACCUUGCCAAAAGAAUGUUCUUCAAGGUGGCCACUUAUUUAGCAUACAAAACACAGUUUUGGUCAAUAUGGAAUUUUAAAGCUUAUGCUUUGAUAUUACUUUUGCACAUACACAAUUAUAGCCUAACAAACAGGCAAGGAAUGUCUCUGGGUUGGUGACUGAAUUUUAAAUAUCUCCUAAAUUGGUUCAGAAUUAAAAGAUCCUAGAAGGCUAUGUGAAAGCAGGUACAAAACUCCUAAAUAGGAAUAAGGCAGUGAUGGUGGAAUGAGGGAAGAAAUAACUUUAGUAUGAGAAAAACUUAUAAACCGAAGCACUCAAAUACACAAAGAAAUAAAAUACAGAGAAAGACCCCCCCACAAAAGCAACUAUUGACACGUUAGUUCAAUAGCAAAAAGAUUAAAAUAUUAGAAUAGUGGAAAAAAAGUUCUGAAAAUGAGUGUGCUUAGCUUCUUCAAAAUGAUAAAAUAUGGGGAAAAUUCAAAAAUAACAAGAAAUAACGAAGCAAAAGAGGAAGAAAUAAGACAAUAGAUGGAUGAGAAAAAGAACCAAUUAGAAAUCUUGCAAAUGAAAUACAUAGUUAAGACUGAAGACAAUUCCAUAGAUAAGACAAAUAGGUUUAUACACAGGUGAACAGUUUGUGGACUGGAAGGUUGUCCUAAGAAAUUCACCAGGAAUGAAAUACAAAGGAACCAGCAUGUCAGAAUUAUGAAAGGAAAGUUAAAGACAGGGAGUGUAGAUUGAGUGGCUCCACCAUAUUUUAAACAGAAGUUCUACAGGAAGUGAUAUAGGAAAUAGCAGAACCCUGUUAGAAUAAAUAAGAUGGGAAUAUACCCAGAUUUAAUUACUUGUCCUUAGAUCCAAAAUGCAUGUUAUACCACUCAGGAUGGCAAUAUUGAAUCUAUACCUAGACAGAAAAGUUACACUUAAAAGUAUUAAGAAUAGAAAAUCUUAGAAACUGUCAGGAAGAAAAAGAGAGAUUAUCUACAAAGGAAAAGCAAUCUGACUUGCAGACAGCAGGUGUCUAGAUAGCAACAAUAAAGCUGAAAAGUAUAGAUGUCAAAUAUAAAAGAAUAACAACUCAUAUAAAACUUGAAAUAGACUCCAUAGCUUCCAAACCAACAGAUUAGAAAAGAAUUGGGAGUCCCCAUAUGUGGGUCAGCCAGUUAAGAAUGUAACAUAGUCUCUGUGAGGAUGUGGGUUUGAUCCCUGGCCUUGCUCAGUGGGUUAAAGAUCCGGUAUUACAGCAAGCUGUGGCAUAGGUUCCAGAUCCAAGCUGUGGCUUGGAUCUGGUGUUGCUGUGGCUGUGGCUUAGGCCUCAGCUGCAACUCCAAUUUAAUCCCUAGUCUGUGAACUUCCACAUGCUGCAGGUGUGGC